UACGAAGGGGGCUAGCGUUGCUCGGAAUCACUGGGCGCAAAGGGUGCGUAGGCGGGUUUUUAAGUCAGAGGUGAAAUCCUGGAGCUCAACUCCAGAACUGCCUUUGAUACUGAAAAUCUUGAGUAUGGGAGAGGUGAGUGGAACUGCGAGUGUAGAGGUGAAAUUCGUAGAUAUUCGCAAGAACACCAGUGGCGAAGGCGGCUCACUGGCCCAUAACUGACGCUGAGGCACGAAAGCGUGGGGAGCAAACAGG
rnacentral:rRNA from 1 species